CCUACGGGGGGCAGCAGUGGGGAAUAUUGCGCAAUGGGGGAAACCCUGACGCAGCAACGCCGCGUGAGUGAAGAAGGCCUUCGGGUUGUAAAGCUCUUUAAUCAGGGACGAAGAAUGACGGUACCUGAAGAAUAAGCUCCGGCUAACUACGUGCCAGCAGCCGCGGUAAUACGUAGGGAGCAAGCGUUAUCCGGAUUUACUGGGUGUAAAGGGCGUGUAGGCGGGCCUGCAAGUCAGAAGUGAAAUCUGGGGGCUUAACCCCCAAACUGCUUUUGAAACUGUGGGUCUUGAGUGAUGGAGAGGCAGGCGGAAUUCCCAGUGUAGCGGUGAAAUGCGUAGAUAUUGGGAGGAACACCAGUGGCGAAGGCGGCCUGCUGGACAUUAACUGACGCUGAGGCGCGAAAGCGUGGGGAGCAAACAGGAUUAGAUACCCUGGUA
rnacentral:rRNA from 1 species